UUGUUUGCAGGGGUCAACGUCUUACAGGUGCGACUCAUUGCCCCCAUGUCUGUGUUGGCGGAGCUAUUUUUAGAUCGAUAGAAAAUAGGAAUGAAGAUGCCAUUUUAUUUCUGAGUUUGAAGAGAUAGGUUUAAAUCGAGAGAAAUGGAAAGGAAGAAAAUUGGUGGAGCUAUGGUUUUUCUCCCAUUGUUUUCUUUUAUAGACGUCGAUUAUGACCCUCGAGCUUCACAUUGUGGCAUUGUGGCUUUCCGUCUCUGUAAUUUCCACUUCGUGUUUUCUGACUUUCCACCUUCAGCUACACACCCAUGACUUUCUCUGUCUUUUAAAAUUUCUGGAUUUGUGUGCUUGCUUGUUUAAUGAAAAUGAACAUACUUUUAAUUACCUGAAAAAUAAAUGAACAUAUUUUUGAGUUAGAGACUUAGACCAGCCCGUUUGACCCCAAAAAAAAAAAAAAAAAAGACUUGGACCAACCCGUGGUCCGUGCAUUUGGCCUACUUUUCUUUAUUAUUUUUUUAGUUUUUUGUUGCUACAAUUACAUGCCCCUCACUUUGGGCUUAGCAUUGCAUCAGUAUCUUGCGUACCAUUUUUAUUAUUUAAGUUUUUGUUUAGUCCAGUACAUGCCCAUCACUUUGUGCUUAGUCUAGGACUUGGUUCGAGAGCUCCUUCGCAUUGACAGCAGCCACAUCAUCAAGCUCACGACCUCCAGCCACAAGCAGCAGCUGCUGCUUUCCACCACCACCACCACCAAAUGAGACAUUCUUCUUCUUCUUCUUCCUUCUCAUCCCUCCUCUCCAUCUCCCAGCCUCGAAAGCCCAGCACUUAUAGUCCCAC
rnacentral:lncRNA from 1 species